GGGGAAUCUUGCGCAAUGGGGGCAACCCUGACGCAGCGACGCCGCGUGCGGGAUGAAGGCUCUAGGGUCGUAAACCGCUUUCAGCAGGGAAGAGUCAAGACUGUACCUGCAGAAGAAGCCCCGGCUAACUACGUGCCAGCAGCCGCGGUAAUACGUAGGUGACAAGCGUUGUCCGGAUUUACUGGGUGUAAAGGGCGCGUAGGCGGACUGUCAAGUCAGUCGUGAAAUACCGGGGCUUAACCCCGGGGCUGCGAUUGAAACUGACAGCCUUGAGUAUCGGAGAGGAAAGCGGAAUUCCUAGUGUAGCGGUGAAAUGCGUAGAUAUUAGGAGGAACACCAGUGGCGAAGGCGGCUUUCUGGACGACAACUGACGCUGAGGCGCGAAAGUGUGGGGAGCAAACAGGAUUAGAUACCCUGGUAGUCCACACCGUAAACGAUGGAUACUAGGUGUAGGAGGUAUCGACCCCUUCUGUGCCGCAGUUAACACAAUAAGUAUCCCACCUGGGGAGUACGACCGCAAGGUUGAAACUCAAAGGAAUUGACGGGGACCCGCACAAGCGGUGGAGCAUGUGGUUUAAUUCGAAGCAACGCGAAGAACCUUACCUGGUCUUGACAUCCCUAUGAAUAACGGGCAAUGCCGUUAGUACUUCGGUACAUAGGAGACAGGUGGUGCAUGGUUGUCGUCAGCUCGUGUCGUGAGAUGUUGGGUUAAGUCCCGCAACGAGCGCAACCCUUAUCUUUAGUAGCCAGCAGUAAGAUGGGCACUCUAGAGAGACUGCCGGGGAUAACCCGGAGGAAGGUGGGGAUGACGUCAAAUCAUCAUGCCCCUUAUGACCAGGGCUACACACGUGCUACAAUGGCGUAAACAAAGAGAAGCGAAGUCGUGAGGCAGAGCGAAUCUCAAAAAUAACGUCUCAGUUCGGAUUGUAGUCUGCAACUCGACUACAUGAAGCUGGAAUCGCUAGUAAUCGCAGAUCAGAAUGCUGCGGUGAAUACGUUCCCG
rnacentral:rRNA from 1 species